CAAGUUCUAUUCGUGAAUUGAUUUUGCCCAAAUUGGAUUCUGAAACUUAAAAAAAAAAAAAACAGAAAAAAACUCAAACAGUGCCUGUAAGCAGUAUCAGAAGGUCAUUCAUUAUCAAACCAUUGGUUUUUCUUUAUUUUAUUAUUAUUAUUUUUUUUUGUGUGUGUGUAGCAACAUGUUAGUUCUAUGAUAGAGAAUUUUUCAAACUUGUCAUUCUGGAGAAACUGCGUUGACCUGAUCCCUGGACGGCAGGUCAGGAAAGGCACAGUGUGGAAUAUGGGAGCAGAAAGGACAAGAAAGAUGGAACAGACUCUCAGGGAGGAGAGACUCCGCCUGCAGUGAUUGCCUCACUCCGCAUGGGCCACCAUCCCUCUCUGGAUCACCUUUGCAACGAUUAUUCCCUCUUCAACCUCGUCUUCUCCUUGGACCCAAAAUGCUUUGCUAAAGCUGGUAAAAUGGAACCAAAUCAACUGUUUAAUGGAUUUGGUCCCCUUCAACCAGCUGUAGCUGUGCAUUGAUCACUCCGAGGAGCCGACGGACAGCCACGCAGUGGGACAAAAGCGACGCCUCUUUUUUCCUCUCCACACAUAAACUCAUUGUCGUGUGUUUCUCAGCACCGGCGACUGUGUGCAUUUAUCUCUGUUAAAAAGAUUACCAGAAGCAAUUUAUUUAAUCUGACUUAAACAAGCCAAGUAAGUAAUUAUAGAUAUCUUAGUGCAUGAAUUGUUAUGCUGUGUAAAGCUGUAACUGUAUUGUCCUUUGGAGAAUUGAAUUGUUCUUUGGAGAUUUUCCCCAAAAGUCUACUGAGAGGUGGAGUUAUAAAGAAGUGAAAUGGCUGAAACACUUUGAGAAAGAUGCUCAGGUUUGUGUGCUCAUGUGUGUAUUAAAUUUCAGUUUAAUAAAGCCUUAUUCCCAACUUCAAAGACCAACUAAGUAUGUGCUUACAAAGCGGUGCUGGAGCUCAUAAGUAAUAAAGUUGCUCUCAUCAA